AAUCUGGCGCAAUGGGUGAAAGGCUGACGCAGCAACGCCGCGUGCGGGAUGAAUGCCUUCGGGUUGUAAACCGCUUUCAGUGGGGACGAACCAAGACGGUACCCACAGAACAAGCCCCGGCCAACUACCUUCCAGCAGCUGCGGUAACACGUAGGGGGCAAGCGUUGUCCGGAUUUAUUGGGCGUAAAGAGCUAGUAGGUGGCCCAGUAAGUCGGGCGUGAAACCUCCAGGCUCAACCUAGAGACGCCACCCAAUACUGCUGUGGCUAGAGUCCAGUAGGGGAGCGUGGAAUUCCUGGUGUAGCGGUGAAAUGCGCAGAUAUCAGGAGGAACACCAGUGGCGAAGGCGGCGCUCUGGGCUGGAACUGACACUGAGGAGCGAAAGCGUGGGGAGCAAACAGG
rnacentral:rRNA from 1 species